rnacentral:rRNA from 1 species
UAAAGAUUCAUCGCUGAUAGAUAGGCAUGCGUUCCAUUAGGCAGUUGGCGGGGUAACGGCCCACCAAACCGACGAUGGAUAGGGGUUCUGAGAGGAAGGUCCCCCACAUUGGUACUGAGACACGGACCAAACUCCUACGGGAGGCAGCAGUGAGGAAUAUUGGUCAAUGGGCGUAAGCCUGAACCAGCCAAGUCGCGUGAGGGAUGAAGGUUCUAUGGAUCGUAAACCUCUUUUAUAAGGGAAUAAAGUGCGGGACGUGUCCCGUUUUGUAUGUACCUUAUGAAUAAGGAUCGGCUAACUCCGUGCCAGCAGCCGCGGUAAUACGGAGGAUCCGAGCGUUAUCCGGAUUUAUUGGGUUUAAAGGGUGCGUAGGCGGCCUUUUAAGUCAGCGGUGAAAGUCUGUGGCUCAACCAUAGAAUUGCCGUUGAAACUGGGAGGCUUGAGUAUGUUUGAGGCAGGCGGAAUGCGUGGUGUAGCGGUGAAAUGCUUAGAUAUCACGCAGAACCCCGAUUGCGAAGGCAGCCUGCCAAGCCAUGACUGACGCUGAUGCACGAAAGCGUGGGGAUCAAACAGGAUUAGAUACCCUGGUAGUCCACGCAGUA